UCCGGCUUAUCACCGGCAGUCCCUCUAGAGUGCCCAACUAAAUGAUGGCAACUAAAGGCGAGGGUUGCGCUCGUUGCGGGACUUAGCCCAACAUCUCACGACACGAGCUGACGACAGCCAUGCAGCACCUGUGCACGGACUCCGAAGAGGGGCUCUCGUUUCUGAGAGCUUGCUCCUGCAUGUCAAGCCUAGGUAAGGUUCUUCGCGUUGCGUCGAAUUAAACCACAUACUCCACCGCUUGUGCGGGCCCCCGUCAAUUCCUUUGAGUUUCAGUCUUGCGACCGUACUCCCCAGGCGGCGAACUUAACGCGUUAGCUUCGACACUGAGAGCCUAAUUGCUCCCAACGUCCAGUUCGCAUCGUUUAGGGCGUGGACUAC
rnacentral:misc_RNA from 1 species